CCUACGGUCGGCAGCAGUGGGGAAUAUUGCACAAUGGGGGAAACCCUGAUGCAGCGACGCCGCGUGAGCGAUGAAGUAUUUCGGUAUGUAAAGCUCUAUCAGCCGGGAAGAAGGUGCCGAUACCUGACUAAGAAGCCCCGGCUAACUACGUGCCAGCAGCCGCGGUAAUACGUAGGGGGCAAGCGUUAUCCGGAUUUACUGGGUGUAAAGGGAGCGUAGACGGCGAUGCAAGCCAGAUGUGAAAGCCCGGGGCUCAACCCCGGGACUGCAUUUGGAACUGGGUGGCUGGAGUGUCGGAGAGGCAGGCGGAAUUCCUAGUGUAGCGGUGAAAUGCGUAGAUAUUAGGAGGAACACCAGUGGCGAAGGCGGCCCGCUGGACGAUGACUGACGUUGAGGCUCGAAAGCGUGGGGAGCAAACAGGAUUAGAUACCCGUGUAGUC
rnacentral:rRNA from 1 species